rnacentral:rRNA from 1 species
GAGUUUGAUCCUGGCUCAGGAUGAACGCUAGCGGCAGGCCUAAUACAUGCAAGUCGAACGGCAAGAUUUGGUAGCAAUACUGAAUCCUAGAGUGGCGCACGGGUGAGUAACGCGUACAUGACAUACCUAUAAGCGAGGGAUAGCAUUGGGAAACUGGUAGUAACCCCUCAUGUGAUUAUUUGUAAUAAAGGUAAAUAAUUAAAACUACGGUGCUUAUAGAUUGGUGUGCGUCUGAUUAGCUAGUUGGCGAGGUAACGGCUCACCAAGGCGACGAUCAGUAGGGGGCGUGAGAGCGUGAACCCCCACACGGGUACUGAGACACGGACCCGACUCCUACGGGAGGCAGCAGUAAGGAAUAUUGGUCAAUGGAGGGAACUCUGAACCAGCCAUGCCGCGUGCAGGAUGAAAGCCCUCUGGGUUGUAAACUGCUUUUAACAGGGAAGAAAAUGCUAUACGUGAUAUAGUACUGACGGUACCUGAGGAAUAAGCACCGGCUAACUCCGUGCCAGCAGCCGCGGUAAUCCG